rnacentral:rRNA from 1 species
AACCCCUGUGACAUACCACUUGUUGCCUCGGCGGAUCAGCCCGCUCCCGGUAAAACGGGACGGCCCGCCAGAGGACCCCUAAACUCUGUUUCUAUAUGUAACUUCUGAGUAAAACCAUAAAUAAAUCAAAACUUUCAACAACGGAUCUCUUGGUUCUGGCAUCGAUGAAGAACGCAGCAAAAUGCGAUAAGUAAUGUGAAUUGCAGAAUUCAGUGAAUCAUCGAAUCUUUGAACGCACAUUGCGCCCGCCAGUAUUCUGGCGGGCAUGCCUGUUCGAGCGUCAUUUCAACCCUCAAGCACAGCUUGGUGUUGGGACUCGCGUUAAUUCGCGUUCCUCAAAUUGAUUGGCGGUCACGUCGAGCUUCCAUAGCGUAGUAGUAAAACCCUCGUUACUGGUAAUCGUCGCGGCCACGCCGUUAAACCCCAACUUCUGAAUGUUGACCUCGGAUCAGGUAGGAAUACCCGCUGAACUUAAGCAUAUCAAUAAGACGGAGGAA